rnacentral:lncRNA from 1 species
CAGCUGCCAUGUUGUAAGGACACUCAAGCAGCCCUGUGGAGGCCUAUGUGUGAAGAACUGAACCCUCCUACUAACUACCAGUAAGGAACUGAAGCCUCCUGCCCACAGCCACAUGAGUGAACAACACUGGAAGUAGAUCUUCCAGCCCCAGUCAAGCCUUCAGAUGACUGCAGCCCUGAACAUACAACUGCAGCCUCAUGAGAUCCUGAGCCAGAACCAUCCAACUAAGCUGUCCCUGAAUUUCUGACCUACAAAAACUGUGACAUCAAGUUUGAUCAGUAAAGCUGCUUUAUUUUGGGGUAAUACAUGCUCAAAAGCACAACUUACCUGUUCAAGACCACCAGUGUGUCCCACCUGGUUGAGGUGGUUCCUCAGAAGCUGUCCUGGGUCAUUUGAUGUGUCCCGAGCAAACAGAAGCACAGAGAAAAAUGGAAAACACCCCAGUUCCUUCAAUGGCUCCCAGAAUGUGAAGAAGCAUCCUGGCCACAUUUCCAUCUGCUGAGGAUACUUUAUCAGGCACCGAGCUUGAGAUGGCCUCUGACCAGCCCAGUUCAAGGAAACACCAAUUAUUUUUGGUCAUUUAACUAUGUGAAAUCACCCCAGCCGCACAAAACUGAAUAAACGCACAUGCUGACAUCAUACUGCAGACGACGCUAGAAGGUAGCAUGGACAGAAAGGGAAAGUUUUCUCACAAAAAUUGUUUGAAACAUUUUGAACUCAAACCUGCAGCAGCAGCGUACCAGCAUGAGCUCCGGGUCCUGCAGCCAGGGCGGCAGCCCCACAGCCUGGCUCAUGGCCUGGAACAGCGUGGCCCUCAGUGCACAGUAAUUAUCACCACGGACUCGCCGUAUGGAGGUGAACUUCUGAGAAACCUCUUCAUAGCCCUGGGAAAAGGUAUGAAAGAAUUCAAAAUGGUCGUUACUGACUUGAGAUAGCAGAGAAAGUUUCAUUCCUGUGGAAAAAGCUUGGCCUGGGAUCACUGGGAGGAUGCCCAAAGUUGGAGUUUUAUGUCCCUUUCUAAGCAAUUGUUUUAACACUUACUCACUGGCAAACAACAUUUUGAAGGGUUUACUCUGUUUCAAAUGACCCUAAACUCUUUAAAAAAAAAAAAAAAAAGGCAAGAAAAAAGAGAGCUAAACUAAGUUUAUAUUUUCCUACUAAAAAAAUAUAGAAAAACCCCAAGUUUCCAAAACACAAAGGGGGGCGGGGGUGCUUUGUGUAUGUGCAUGUAUAUAUAAAAGUCUAUAUGCCAGGAGAUGGCUGAAUAAUUCUGUUAGGCUUCUUUUUUUGAGAUGCAGUUUCGCUCUCGUUGCCCAGGCUGGAGUGCAGUGGCGCAAUCUCGGCUCACUGCAACCUCGGCCUCCCGGGUUCAAGCAAUUCUCCUGCCUCAGCCUCCUGAGUAACUGGGAUUACAGGUAUGUGCCACCAAGCCCAGCUAAUUUUUUGUAUUUUUAGUAGUGACAAGAUUUCAUCAUGUUGGUCAGGCUGGUCUUGAACUCCUGACCUCAGAUGAUCCACCUGCUUCUGCCUCCCAAAGUGCAGGGAUUACAGGCGUGAGCCACCGUGCCCCGCCUUCUUUUCUUAAGUGAAGUGUCACUCUUGCUCAGUCUGGAAGUGAAACAAGGAAAUGAAAAUAUUCAAUGACAUGCUUGGGCACUCAAAAACAGCCAUCCAAUGGACCAUUCUGAAACGUACCCUGAAAAGACACCAAAAAAUCCUAGUGAGUCUGGUCCCCCAGCAGGCAUGAUGAUGCCUGGCUUCUCCAGCUAGACACAUGCACAGUCCUUGAGACUGACUGAACUGCCCACCAUCUCCCUGACCCUGGGUCGAGUCAGCCCCUUCACUCAUCCAACUUUUCCUUGACAGUCACUCAAGACCCACUUCCUACCCUGCACUCACACAAAGAAAGAAGUGUUACCCUCAUCGUGGAGUGGACGCAAUGCAGACCACCUCUGUCCUGUGUGUCCAGGUACUAGAACCUCAUUACUAGCUGUUUUCAAGGUUCAAGUCAUAGGAUGAUGUUUUAAGUGAAUAUAAAAGUACUUUUUUCCCCCAAUAACAACAUUUUGAGGGUUGCAUUUUUAUUUAGUGGUCCA